AAUCAAGCAGUAAAGCCCGCCUCCUUGUGCUCGAAACCCGUUUACUGUAGAAAAAAGGAAAUAUACAAGUGAGUUUUAUUCUACUAGUCAUCCUGCUACUUUCUAACGUUAAAGAAACGGUCACAAACUAUUUUAACUGUCCGUUUUUAGCCGUUGAGCGCCAUUCACUCCCAUUCAUUGAGGACCCACUCGCGGCCUGUAUUUGAUAUAACAGGGGGAAUAGGAAGCGGCCCGGCUCCUCAUAAACCGGCUCUGGUGGAAGCCGAUCAUAUUAUGGAUUCGUAGCAACAUGGAUUUGUAGCAAACCAUGUAUUUGGAAACAGUAAGGCUGUUGUCGGAACAAAACCUUGUAUCUCCAAAAUAGCAACUUUACAGGAGAAGGAAGAAACCUACUUUACUUUUAAUCUGGAACAAAAAAACUGAAGAGCCACCCUUUAUUUCACUGAGUUCAUGUGAAUCUGGGGUUAAUAAAAAGAAUGUUUUACUAAAUGCAGGAAGAGAGGGAGGAUUGAUAGGACUGAAGGAGCAGAAUCUGAUGGAGAACAUCUUACGAAGUGUUGGCCAUUGCAAGCCUGACCACCCUGCAGCUGUGUAUGAUAUGAUCAUUUUGUCUGCUCGUACAGCAGCACUGGGAGAAUGUGUGACAGAAGAGGAGGCAGAAAAUGAGAGAAGCACGGUGGAUAUGGAGGGAUGAACAGAUGGUCCCCACUUGAAGCACCUGCAGACCAAAGAAUCUACACUGCAUGUAAGUUUCCUCCGAUGAAACUGUAGAUGCUCCACAUCCUUUUUUUCUGCCUCCCUCUGUCUGAUCCGUCUCUUCCUCUUUCCCUCCUCCCCUUUUCUCCUGAGUUUGGAUGACUCAGCAUAAUGUUUACAGUUGUCCCGUGUGUUUUUUCCUUCUCGCUACUCUGAGAUCAGUAUGCUGUGCUACAUAGACUGACUGCGGUUGUUUUCUGAAAGGAAAGACUGACCCCAGAUCUACCCAGAGCUGCCCAGUAGAGAGAAUUACUGUUACAGCUGGGUGAAAAAUGAUCCAGGGUGGUGGCCAUAUGAGGAAAUACGCUGGAGGAGAGGGAAGGGGUGGAGACAGGAACCUGAGGAAGCUUUUAGUGAAGUGUUAGGGUUAGUGCUGGUGUGUGUGGGUGUGGAGGUCAAGUAGCAGAAUGGGUGGUGGAGAAUGUGCAUCCACCCUGAAGGCG
ensembl:lncRNA